rnacentral:misc_RNA from 1 species
AGAAGAAAGUAGUUGCAGAGAAUUGAAUAAAUAAAGUAGAAAACAAUGAAAUGGGAAGAGAAAAUUAGAGAAAGAAGAAUCAGAAUUGUAUUGAUUUCAAAAUGGAAUCUUCUAUACAGUUAUAAUCUGCUUUUAGACUCCUCUCGCUCUAGUAAUUGCCUUUGUGUUCCUAACAACCUGUACAAUUCUUUCAACUAACUAACUACUUAUUUUUCCUCCAAAAAUCACACAUGUCGACCCUACUUUCCUAGCAGACUCCUUAGUCAACUAAAGCCAUCUUUGACUCUUUUACUUUUUAAAUCUCAACCAUCAAUGUCUUUUUU